rnacentral:rRNA from 1 species
AUACGUACCGUACGAACGUUAUUCGGAAUCACUGGGCUUAAAGGGUGCGUAGGCGGCGUGGUCAGUUGGGUGUGAAAUCCCUCGGCUCAACCGAGGAACUGCGCCCAAUACUGCCACACUUGAGGGAGACAGAGGUAAGCGGAACUGAUGGUGGAGCGGUGAAAUGCGUUGAUAUCAUCAGGAACACCAGUGGCGAAGGCGGCUUACUGGGUCUCUUCUGACGCUGAGGCACGAAAGCUAGGGUAGCGAACGGGAUUAGAAACCCCAGUAGUCC